GCCGGGCGUGGUGGUGCACGCCUGUAGUCCCAGCUACUCAGGAGGCUGAGGCAGGAGAAUUGCUUGAACCCAGGAGGUGGGAGUUGCAGUGAGCCGAGAUGGUGCCACUGCACUCCAGCCUGGGAGACAGAGGGAGACUCUGUCUCAA
ensembl:misc_RNA Metazoa_SRP Metazoan signal recognition particle RNA